rnacentral:rRNA from 1 species
GAUAAACGCUGGCGGCGUGCAUAACACAUGCAAGUCGAACGAUGAAGAUUAAAAGAUUUCUUCGGAAUGAACUUAAUUGGAUUAGUGGCGGACGGGUGAGUAACGCGUGAGUAACCUGCCUUGUACAAGGGGAUAGCCGUUGGAAACGACGAAUAAUACCCUAUGACAUCAAAUAAUCGCAUGAUAAUUUGAUCAAAGAUUUAUCGGUAUAAGAUGGACUCGCGUCUGAUUAGCUAGUUGGUAGAGUAAAAGCCUACCAAGGCAACGAUCAGUAGCCGGCUUGAGAGAGUGUACGGCCACAUUGGGACUGAGACACGGCCCAGACUCCUACGGGAGGCAGCAGUGGGGAAUUUUGCACAAUGGGGGAAACCCUGAUGCAGCGACGCCGCGUGAUUUAGAAGGCCUACGGGUUGUAAAAAUCUUUUGUAUGGGAAGAAAAUGACAGUACCAUACGAAUAAGGACCGGCUAAGUACGUG